UACGAAGGGGGCUAGCGUUGCUCGGAAUCACUGGGCGUAAAGCGCACGUAGGCGGCUUUCUAAGUCAGGGGUGAAAUCCUGGAGCUCAACUCCAGAACUGCCUUUGAUACUGGGGAUCUCGAGUCCGGAAGAGGUGGGUGGAAUUCCUAGUGUAGAGGUGAAAUUCGUAGAUAUUAGGAAGAACACCGGUGGCGAAGGCGGCCCACUGGUCCGGUACUGACGCUGAGGGACGAAAGCUAGGGGAGCGAACGGG
rnacentral:rRNA from 1 species